CCUACGGGAGGCUGCAGUGAGGAAUAUUGGUCAAUGGACGAGAGUCUGAACCAGCCAAGUAGCGUGAAGGAUGACUGCCCUAUGGGUUGUAACCUUCUUUUAUAAAGGAAUAAAACGAGGCACGUGUGCCUUUUUGCAUGUACUUUAUGAAUAAGGAUCGGCUAACUCCGUGCCAGCAGCCGCGGUAAUACGGAGGAUCCGAGCGUUAUCCGGAUUUAUUGGGUUUAAAGGGAGCGUAGAUGGGUUGUUAAGUCAGUUGUGAAAGUUUGCGGCUCAACCGUAAAAUUGCAAUUGAUACUGGCAGUCUUGAGUACAGUUGAGGUAGGCGGAAUUCGUGGUGUAGCGGUGAAAUGCUUAGAUAUCACGAAGAACCCCGAUUGCGAAGGCAGCUUACUAAACUGUGACUGACAUUGAUGCUCGAAAGUGUGGGUAUCAAACAGGAUUAGAUACCCGUGUAGUC
rnacentral:rRNA from 1 species